UGGGUUCGGCCGCCGACUCCGCCGAUCUCCCCACUAGGUCCAAGUCGGGCACAAGUAGAUAAUCGAUAGAUAGAUAGAUAAGGAAAGCGGUAAAUGACAGAAGUAAAGCUACGCUACUAUGCCCAAUCAUAAAUAUAUGAAUGCAUGUACAAUGAAAUAGAUAAACAACUAACCCAUUAUCAUGUCCAAAGGUAAAGCUAUUUACUCGUUCAUCAAUCUCAUUUACUUGUUUCUUAAUCUCGUGGCUUCCCUGAAGGAGCCUACUGCUCACUAGCCAUCUCGAAGGUAGGGAGGGUCAACUCGCACUACGAACCGAGACCGUCUGCCGGGGCCUAAAUAGGCAAACCCUUGGGACCCAAAAUAGGCGAUCCCACGUGACCAACAUCCGGAGCGCACUACUUGUGUGGGGCUUCCAUCACAAGAUUUAGAAACAGACCGUGAGCAUGAUCCAAUCCUCGUCUCGAGAAUACCCUAUCCUCUAGGGUUACAAUCAUCAUAUAGUCCAUAGGUUUCACAUACACUACGACUCAUAUGUGUCGUUUGUUCUUUUGCUUACUAUCAACUAAAUUGCCACUCGUCCAUUGUUUACUAUCGACUAGAUGCCACUCGUUCUUUGUUUAACAUUAGACCAACCAUUGAGCCCAUCACUUUCUCUGCACUAUAGGAUUCCCAAGUCUCGACCCAAUCCUUAUCAAUCCACUAUAUCAAAUAUUCAAUACAUGCUACGAUAUCAUCAAGGAAGGCAUAAGGAAAGGCAAUGCAUAAUCAUCCUAUAAUGCAAUAAUACAAGAUGCAAGGAUCGACAUGUACUAAGACAUAGAAGGGAGCCCGAUUGCUUCGGGAUGGACACCACCCACCUCUUGGCGAUGCCGCGAAGGUAGAAAACUCGACGUUGCGGUUCUUGUACGCCGCUUCAACUCCUCGGGGCAAAGCGAGCCCUCGAGUACCCGAUUCGGCGAUAACUCCGCACUCACUCGUCGGAUCGGCAAACCAUCUUCGCCGACGCGUUCCGAGACCUAGCAAUUUGGUUUACGACCUAUUAAAAUAGAUCAAAACCCUAGAUUUACCAAAAUCCCAAAUCCGUGCCCUAGAAUGGCAACGGGGAAGAAAUCCGUGGUGCGAGCUUCGAUUUCGAGCUCGAACCAUCUACUUAUCCCCAAUAGGUUCCAUUUGAACCAAUCCUGAUCAACAAAACCCAACCCUAAGAAAUCUACCAUGAGUGGGUUUGGAGCUUACCUCUAAGCCAAGCUCCAAGCUUGCCCUAGGUUGGAGGAGAGAGGGAAGAAUAUGAUCUUCUUCUUCUUCUUGGACUUCUCCUUCUACUUCUUCAUCUUUUCCUUCUUUUCUUUCUUCUCCUUCUUCUUCUCCUUCUUUUCUUUCUUUUCUAGAGAGAGAGGGAAAGGGUGUGAAAGAGAGAGAGAAAGAGCAACUGAGGGAGAGAGAGGGGUCCCCCACCUUUAUUAAAGGCCAUUUUGUAGAUAGCCCCCUCAACUUUUCAUUUCCUGAAACAGCCCUCCCUGGGCCAUUUUCGCAGCGAGGGACCGGUCCCUGCUCGGGGAGACCGGUCCCCGAAAGCUGCACAACCAGGCAGAGGGGAUUUCGCGUUCGGGAACCGGUUCUUGCUUGAGAGACCGGUCCCCGGGAAACCGGUCCUUGUCCGAGAGACCGGUUCCCGAAAGCUGAGUUUUCGGGACUUAGCCAAAUUU
rnacentral:lncRNA from 1 species